rnacentral:lncRNA from 1 species
CAUAUUUCUGUGAUACCUCUAAGCUUCUGCUGUCCUAGCUUGUAUUGCACAUAAUGAACAGAGCCUUUGACCAUAUGUGAUGAGUGCUGAGCUAAGAAUCAGGACUCCUAGACCUACUGAGGUUUUUUUCCUCUAAACUGUUUGACUUAUUUUGAUCUGCCGACCUCUCUGAAAAUGGGAGACUAGUGCAUUCUCUGUGAAGUUUAGGGGAGGGGUCACGGUUAUAAGCCAAGUGAGGUAAUGGAUUUGAAGAUGCUCUGGUGGAAAUGUCUGGCUCAACAUGCAAUCGUGUUGUCAUUUUGCUCUCACUUCUCUGGCAUCCAUGAGAAUCAUGAGGUGAGAGUUGGGCGCCACUGGAGUCAAGAAAACUCUCCAGAUUGCCUCAUGCCUUGAUGGGACAUUCACUCGCCUACAGUGCUGUGUGAGGUGUUAACUGGACACGAAGGAAUCCAGCUAUGAUGCUGCAUAGCUCCAACACAAAGGGAUUCGUGUGUAAAAGACAAAGAAAGUGCUUUACAGCCAUGUGCUGUCUCACUGCAUACCCUCCCCUAGACCAUCAGUCCUCUCUCACAGUUCAUACCCUCUCCAGACCACCAGUUCUCUCUUACAGUUCACACCCUCUCCCCCAGGCCAUCAGUUUUCUCUCACAGUGCACACCCCCAUACCAUCAGUUCUCUCUCACAGUGCACACCUCCCCUAGACCAUCAGUUCUACUCAUACGCAAACCCAACAGGUCCUGUUAUUUGUGUUUCUUCCAUUUAAUGUUUUUACAACAAGCAGAUGAGAGAGAGAGAGAGAGAGAGAGAGAGAGAGAGAGAACCACUAUUUGGAGGCAGACCUAAGGAUCCCUGAUGAGGAAGGCAUACUUACUCAGAGAAAAGAGGUGAGAGGACCUUGAGUCAGGAAUGUGUGCAAGGGACACCAGGAGCCAUGGUGGAGCAGCACAAAAUUUACACCAGAACUUAAAAGUUUUACAGAUAGAGGUUUGAUGGUUCUGAGAAUAUGGUAACGAUGGACUGAUUUUCAUAAUGAGCUCCUGAUUUGAAGGCUCUGCACUGACUGUUCUGUUUGCCUCCUGUAACUCCCACCAAUUUCUAGCCUCUGUCCAACUAUUCUAAAUCUCAAGAAGGCCUGCCUUGGCCACCCUAUCUUAAGCACAUCCUAGUCUGGCUCUAGAAUAGGACUUCUGGUCUUCUGACACUUCAUGUAUGAAUGUAUGUAUGUAUGUAUGUAUGUACAUACAUAUGUAUCUAUGUAUGUGUGUAUGUACAUAUGUAUCUAUGUAUGUGUGUAUCCAUCCUUUCUAUCACCAUUCAAUUUACUAUGGAUUUUUUUAACAAGUCUCAAACAUUUCUCAUUAGUGCAAUAGUUUUUUUUUAAUGAUCAUCUAGUUAACACUCAAUAAAUAUCUGUCAUUGACUUCCUACUCUGAGUUUUCAAGAACAAAAUCAAAUCAUAAUCAUUAUACUUGAAACUAGAAUGCUUAAUGGUACAUCCAGCCCUGCAGUCGGAGGGUAGAUGGAGGGGGUGGGGAUGGGGAAUGGAAUAUGAAGUGUAAAAAAUAAAUUAAUUUAAAAAUAAAAAUAAAAAAAUAAAAUAA